rnacentral:rRNA from 1 species
CCUACGGGUGGCAGCAGUGGGGAAUAUUGGACAAUGGGGGGAACCCUGAUCCAGCCAUGCCGCGUGUGUGAAGAAGGCCCUCGGGUUGUAAAGCACUUUCAGUGAGGAAGAACGCCUGGUGGUUAAUACCCAUCAGGAAAGACAUCACUCACAGAAGAAGCACCGGCUAACUCCGUGCCAGCAGCCGCGGUAAUACGGAGGGUGCGAGCGUUAAUCGGAAUUACUGGGCGUAAAGCGCGCGUAGGUGGCUUGAUAAGCCGGUUGUGAAAGCCCCGGGCUCAACCUGGGAACGGCAUCCGGAACUGUCAAGCUAGGGUGCAGGAGAGGAAGGUAGAAUUCCCGGUGUAGCGGUGAAAUGCGUAGAGAUCGGGAGGAAUACCAGUGGCGAAGGCGGCCUUCUGGACUGACACUGACACUGAGGUGCGAAAGCGUGGGUAGCAAACAGGAUUAGAUACCCUGGUAGUC